rnacentral:rRNA from 1 species
UACAGAGGUCUCAAGCGUUGUUCGGAUUCAUUGGGCGUAAAGGGUGCGUAGGCGGCGCGGUAAGUCGGGUGUGAAAUCUCGGAGCUUAACUCCGAAACUGCAUUCGAUACUGCCGUGCUGGAGGACUGGAGAGGAGACUGGAAUUUACGGUGUAGCGGUGAAAUGCGUAGAUAUCGUAAGGAAGACCAGUGGCGAAGGCGGGUCUCUGGACAGUUCCUGACGCUGAGGCACGAAGGCCAGGGGGAGCAAACGGG